rnacentral:rRNA from 1 species
AGAGUUUGAUCCUGGCUCAGGACGAACGCUGGCGGCGUGCCUAACACAUGCAAGUGGAGCGACGAACCGGGGCUUGCCCCGGGGCAGAGCCGCGAACGGGUGAGUAACACGUGGGUUACCUGCCCCGAUGACUGGGACAACCCGUCGAAAGACGGGCUAAUACCGGAUGUGCCCCUUGGGGGAAAGGAAGCUUCKGCCUCCGCAUCGGGAUGGGCCCGCGGCGCAUUAGCUUGUUGGUGGGGUAAUGGCUUACCAAGGCGACGAUGCGUAGCUGGUCUGAGAGGACGAUCAKCCACACUGGGACUGAGACACGGCCCAGACUCCUACGGGAGGCAGCAGUGGGGAAUCUUGCACAAUGCGCGAAAGCGUGAUGCAGCAACGCCGCGUGCGGGAAGAAGGCCUUAGGGUUGUAAACCGCUUUCAGUUGGGACGAGGCUUCGGUCGUUAAUAGCGGUUUGGAGUGACGGUACCUUCAGAAGAAGCGCCGGCUAACUACGUGCCAGCAGCCGCGGUAAUACGUAGGGCGCGAGCGUUGUCCGGAAUCAUUGGGCGUAAAGCGCGUGUAGGCGGCUGAGUAAGUCUGCUGUGAAAGUCCAGGGCUCAACCCUGGAAUGUCGGCGGAUACUGCUCAUCUGGAGUACGGSAGGGGCGAGUGGAAUUCCUGGUGUAGCGGUGGAAUGC